GGGUCCGUGGCGCAGCAUGGAUACACAUAAGACCAUAAAGCGCGUCAGCCUUCUAAGCUGAAAGUCCGGGGUUCAAAUCCCCGCGGACCCGCCA
rnacentral:tRNA from 1 species